rnacentral:rRNA from 1 species
GAUGAACGCUGGCGGCGUGCCUAAUACAUGCAAGUCGAGCGAACGGACGAGAAGCUUGCUUCUCUGAUGUUAGCGGCGGACGGGUGAGUAACACGUGGAUAACCUACCUAUAAGACUGGGAUAACUUCGGGAAACCGGAGCUAAUACCGGAUGAUAUUUUGAACCGCAUGGUUCAAAAGUGAAAGACGGUCUUGCUGUCACUUAUAGAUGGAUCCGCGCUGCAUUAGCUAGUUGGUAAGGUAACGGCUUACCAAGGCAACGAUGCAUAGCCGACCUGAGAGGGGGAACCGCCACCACGGAACUGAGACACGGUCCAGACUCCUACGGGAGGCAGCAGUAGGGAAUCUUCCGCAAUGGGCGAAAGCCUGACGGAGCAACGCCGCGUGAGUGAUGAAGGUCUUCGGAUCGUAAAACUCUGUUAUUAGGGAAGAACAUAUGUGUAAGUAACUGUGCACAUCUUGACGGUACCUAAUCAGAAAGCCACGGCUAACUACGUG